ACAAAGCUUUUUUCUGCUGUUCUACUUACCUUACAAUCUGCAGGAGGGCUCCGGCUUGACAAAUAUGGUCCCUGCUUCCAUUUGAUCCACAAUACGUGGGAGCCCGUUCCUCGUUCUCGCGGGAAGGCUGCGGCAGCCCGGUGCGAAGGUAAGGGCAAGAGGUGCCGAAAGGGAGACGCGCGAGCGGGCUGGAGCGUCGCAGCUGGCCGGUAGGUUACCGCGGGCGCUCCUGGGGAAGCGGCAGGGCAGGGGGCACGCCGCCGAGGGGCACCGCAGCCGCCUGGGCGUGGGAGCGCUGGAAACGCGGCGGAGCUCGGGGCAGGAAACACCUGCCCGGCAGCGCUGGGGCUGCGCCGUCAGGCAAGCUCCCGGCUCCGCGGCAGCCUUCGGCGCCCCUAUCGAGGGGCUGCUUUGGGUGGAAGAGGUGUCCUCGGGAGGCCGGCCUGAGAAAAUCCUGUGCAGGAAGGUGGGAGUGUGGGAAAACACAGCCCCCGGCUUUGCGGGAAGGCCUGGUAGAGCUGGGCUUUAGAGCGGCUCAGUCCUUGCUCGGGCAGUGUUUUGUGUCCUCACGAUGCCAAACCAAACGCGCUGACGAUGGACAAGCAAAAGAGAAACGUUGCAGUGUCUUUGCAAGAGUCUUUGCCUCUUGCUUGAGCAGAUCUCACCACUCCUUGCUUCCUUCUAAUGUGGAAACCUGUAAUUUUCCUGUGAACGGGGAUGCACGCUUUAACGGCUGGAGGUCUGGUACAUGUGGGCGAGGUGGAAAUGGGAGCUUGGGGCGUGACUUUGUAGCUGCUCAGUCUGUGUGCAGAAGCCUGCUGACCCCGUUAACCAAGGUUGGCCCUAAUCAAGAGGGGUUUCCUCUGCCCAGGGCGGUUUGAGCUGCUGCGAAGGGUUUUGCCCUGUCCAGCUCUUGCUUUUCCAUUGCUUUACCUUCGGAGUGACUCCAGGAGGAGCCCUGGGGUUUCUCUUCAGCAAACAGCUGGUUAUACAAGUCAGAGCUGGAAGCGAUCCAUGCACUUGAUAAAUAACACCGAGCCUGGGAUCUCCUGAGCUAAGCAAGAAAGGUUGCUUAAAGCACUGGGUUGAACAAACAGAGAUAAGGCUGGGGUUGAUACUCUUGUAAAUGCCUUUGUCAUCUGUUGCUAAAACCUCCUAACUCCAGGGGUGCGAGGAGGUGGCCAUAGGGCACCCUUCUCUUUACCGACCCCCAGAAAAGGCAGGGACCCGGCGGGGGGGUGUUACGAUACCAUAUUUAUGAAGUACGAUAGUGGGGACCCUUCUGGGGAGAGGCUGGAUGCCUGCUCUAGCUGUCGGCCUUCUUAAGGGCAGGAUGUGGGUUGGGGUAGUUGGCUCUGCUCGUGCCCCCGCCUAGCGCCGGGGUUUGAACGGGGCACAAAGUGCAUGGGGGAGGUUGUUACGGGGCCAGCGGGCUCUCGCCUACGCUCUGCUGCUCGCCUCGUCUCUGCUGUUGGCGGCGAAGCUCCCAUCAGAGCUUUGCCUUAAUGAAAUGUGGCAGAUGAGGGAGCCCUUUCCACCCUGCCAGGUUCCCAGCUGGGCUACGGCAGGGGAUACGGGGGUGUCCGUGAGGGGUGGGCUCCUGCGGGGGUCAGGGCUUGCUUUAGCAGCUUUGCCCGGCUGCCCAGGGCCGGGCUCCUCCUGCCUGCCCCGCGCUGCAGGCGGUAGGCUUAAUUAAUGCUUGGGGGAGAGCCGUGGCUGGGUGAGAUGUCCCGAGGUGCCCCCAGGACUUGCAUCAGGACGGAGCGUGCUUGUGUAACCAACUGGCCUGCUGGAGCCGAGGCUGAGCACCGAUCCCGUUCCCUGAAACCACAUGUUCCUGCAGGCAGCGCGGGCGGGCAGCGCGGCACCCACCUUCCCCAGCAUUGCCCCGGCUGUGCCCUCGCAGCUGCAGGGAGAAGUCACGUCGGAGCAAAGUAACCCUGCCGGGGGCAGCCGGAUGAGUAAUGCAACAGGCAGUGUCAUUUUAUACGCUA